rnacentral:rRNA from 1 species
AGAGUUUGAUCAUGGCUCAGAACGAACGCUGGCGGCGUGCCUAACACAUGCAAGUCGAACGAGAAAGGGGCUUCGGCCCUGAGUAAAGUGGCGCACGGGUGAGUAACACGUAGGUAACCUGCCUCUGAGAUUGGGAUAACUUGUCGAAAGACGGGCUAAUACCGAAUAAGACCACAGCUUCUUUGGGAGCAGAGGUCAAAGAUAGCCUCUACUUGUAAGCUAUCACUUAGAGAUGGGCCUGCGCACCAUUAGCUAGUUGGUAGGGUAACGGCCUACCAAGGCAAAGAUGGUUAGCUGGUCUGGGAGGAUGAUCAGCCACACUGGAACUGAGACACGGUCCAGACUCCUACGGGAGGCAGCAGUGGGGAACAUUGCGCAAUGGGCGAAAGCCUGACGCAGCAACGCCGCGUGAGUGAUGAAGGCCUUCGGGUCGUAAAGCUCUGUCGGAGGGAACGAACGUUCCCGGAGUUAACAGCUCCGGGAAGUGACGGUACCCUCAAAGGAAGCACCGGCUAACUCUGUGCCAGCAGCCGCGGUAAUACAGAGGGUGCAAGCGUUGUUCGGAAUCAUUGGGCGUAAAGGGCGUGUAGGCGGUUUGUUAAGUCAUGUGUGAAAUCCCUCGGCUCAACCGGGGAACGACGCAUGAAACUGACAAGCUAGAGUACCAAAGAGGGGGGUGGAAUUCCCGGUGUAGCGGUGA